AGUGAACGCUGGCGGUAGGCCUAACACAUGCAAGUCGAACGGCAGCACAGUAAGAGCUUGCUCUUACGGGUGGCGAGUGGCGGACGGGUGAGGAAUACAUCGGAAUCUACUUUUUCGUGGGGGAUAACGUAGGGAAACUUACGCUAAUACCGCAUACGACCUACGGGUGAAAGCAGGGGAUCUUCGGACCUUGCGCGAUUGAAUGAGCCGAUGUCGGAUUAGCUAGUUGGCGGGGUAAAGGCCCACCAAGGCGACGAUCCGUAGCUGGUCUGAGAGGAUGAUCAGCCACACUGGAACUGAGACACGGUCCAGACUCCGACGGGAGGCAGCAGUGGGGAAUAUUGGACAAUGGGCGCAAGCCUGAUCCAGCCAUACCGCGUGGGUGAAGAAGGCCUUCGGGUUGUAAAGCCCUUUUGUUGGGAAAGAAAAGCAGCAGGUUAAUACCCCGCUGUUCUGACGGUACCCAAAGAAUAAGCACCGGCUAACUUCGU
rnacentral:rRNA from 1 species